AUUGAACGCUGGCGGCAGGCCUAACACCUGCAAGUCGAACGAGAGGCGGACGUGUGAGUUAUGUCUGGGAAUCUGCUCGAUGGAGGGCGAUCACUACUGGAAACGGUUGCUACUACCGCCUUCCAUCGGAUGUGCCCAGAUGGGAGUAGCUAGUAGGUGGGGUAACGGCUCACCAAGGCGACGAUCCCUAGCUGGUCUGAGAGGCUGACCAGCAACACUGGAACUGAGACACGGUCCAGACACCUACGGGAGGCAGCAGUGGGGAAUAUUGCACAAUGGGCGCAAGCCUGAUGCAGCCAUGCCGCGUGUAUGAAGAAGGCCGUCGGGUUGUAAAGUACUUUCAGCGAGGAGGCGUUACUCGCAGAAGAAGCACCGGCUAACUCCGUGCCAGCAGCCGCGGUAAUUC
rnacentral:rRNA from 1 species